rnacentral:lncRNA from 1 species
AUCGUUUGGAGUUAUAGUUACAGGAAGUUAUGAGUUGCCUAAAGUAAGUUCUGGAAACUAAAUUUAGGUCCUCUGAAGCUUAGUGAGCUCUCCUAACCACUGCCCCCAGGCACCACUUUUUAAAAACAGUUUCACUCUAGGUCAGGCUGUUUUGGGACUCAUUAUAUAGCCCCAGGUUGUCUUUGAACUCUUGGCAAUCCUCCUAUUUUAUGCUCUCAGUGAUAGGUUACAGGCAUGAGGCAUGACUUUGGGCUUAGACUUUAGAAUCAGUUUGUCAGUAUGAACUUUUGGUCAAAAUAAUUGUCAAUAAUACACGCAAAAUGGACAAUGUUGGAUAUUGAGAAAUAGGAGUUCUCUAUGUAUAGGAUCUGAAAUAUAUAGAAUUCUAUAUUUUGUGCUCAGUUUUGCUAUGAAUCUGAAACGUCUCCAGUUCAGUGACUUUUACUGAUUUACGUGUGUAUAUAUUUAUUGUAUUCACAUUUGUGUGAGUGUUUACCUGCCUGCGGAGGCCAGAGGUCAAUGUUAGGUGUCUUUAAUCACUCGCUAUCUUAGUGUUUGAGGCAGGGUUUCUCAGUGAACUGGGAGCUCAUUGGUUAAGCUGGGUUAGAUAGCCAAUAAGUUCUGGGGAUCUGCCUGUUUCUGUUCACCCUAUGUGAGUAGCCGUGCCCAGCUUUUACAUACGUGUGUGCUGGGAAUCAGAACACAGGUUUUCAUGCUUGAGUGACAGGUACUUUAUCUCCUUCUCUGCUCAGUUCAUUGAUAAACAAACAAACCAAUAAUCUCAUUACAUAUAUGCAUUUGUCAAACUCUUCAAAAGGCUUGCUUGAACUCAUUUCAUUAUAUGUAAAACUCACUUUGCCUCCCCUGCCCUCACCCUCUGUGAGUUCAUGUAUACAAAUUUACAUGCAGACAUACAUAUCAUAAUUUAAAAAUUAUUGUGGUUUUAUUUGUAUGUAUGCUGUUGAGGAUUGAACCCAGGUUCUAGGACAUGUUAGGAUGCACUCCACCACUGAACAACACGUCACUCGGAUCUAACUCGAUUGGGGAAAAGUUAAUGCAAACUCAGUAUGUUUCCAACUGAGUAGAUUAUUGUAUCCGUUUAUUUAUUUACUUGUGGAGGAAGGGAGCCUGUGCCAUCAUGAGCAUGUGGAGGUCAAGCCAAGUAGAGGAGUCAGUUUUCUCCCUCUACUGUCUGGGUUCUGGGUACUGAAUUUAGGUUGUCAGCAUUUACCUACCGUGCCUUUCCCUACUGAGCUAUUCUACCAACCCUGUUGGCAACUUUUAAAGAUCAAGUAUGCCUUUAGAUUUUACUUGG